AUCGAUAAUUUCCGGUACGCCCUAAUGAAAAAUCAGUGCAAAAUGUUCAUUCAACUCAACUUGCUGUUGGUCGGCCCGCCCGCCAUUUUCUCUGUAUUUCUAGUACGAUUCGGGAGACCGUGGAAAUAACGGAAUUUCUCUUGUCGGGGCCGGACAAUAAUGUUGUCCGCAGUGAUAUCUCUACCGCAUAUCUCCUGCAUACUCGACCUUUGCUUCACGAAACGUUAGCAUUCUAAGAGCACAUGCCCCGCGGUCUGCGCAUUCCGGACAUGUGGGGGAAUCUGUCCGAAUCUGUGUAGGUACUACCUGUAACCGAUGGUUCCAUGUUUGCGAUUGUGACUCCAUCACAAUAAUAACCACCCAUUGGGUACAACCCUGAACAAUGCGAGAGAGAUUAAAUGGUCGCUCAUUCUCCCAAACACAACCCAACAUCCACGGUACCGCUCUCCCUGCACGCAUUCGUUGUCAGCGGUUUUGAGCGAUAGUAGAGUGCACUCAGCCGAAGGCAGUCCUAGGCAGGGCAAGGGGAGCGACACUCCCGAAGAGAAUAAAUAUACAAAUACGACAAAUUCGGAAAUGAUCGUAUUUCUUAUGGAAUUAGGUAAUACGAGCUUGGCUUGCUAGCAUCGCCAGUUCAGUUCCGUCCCGACCACCGCAGCGAGCAGACAGUGCGCGCCGUGUGCUUAAAAGUAUAAAUCGAACAAAGUGUGUGCGAUAUGAUCAAGUAGUGAUUCUCCUUAACGUUUUGAUUUGUUUCCACAAAUAUAGGUCCGAAUAGAGAUAAACUUUCAAAAGUAGUGUUAUUGGGUCGCAAAAAUAUCCCAAAAUAGUGGUUAGUAUUUUCGGAAACCAGAAAAGUUAUAACAAAAGAACCUAAAAUCUAUUGUAUUGAAACUAGGGUGAGGUGACCAGCUAUCAACUUCCACCUGUCUACACUACUACGGAGAACAAAAAUUUGUAAGAAAAAGGUCCACCACAGGGCCUUUUUCUUUAUCAGAUUUUGUCUGGUCGACAACGCCAUUACGAUUUCCCAGACAAAGGCUCGGGACGGAAAAAGAUGGCCCAGAACCAAACAAUUGGGCUAGGUCGUUGAGGAAGUUUGGCCGCCAUAUUGCCGAGGACCAACGGUAGCCACGUGUACCCGCCAUAUCGCCAAGGAACAAAGUGCCUAGACCGACAUAUAUGCACCUGUAGGGGCUAGAACUAGGACCAACAGAGUUCGCCCCAAGACGAUUCGUAACCUCGAAGCUCACGGAACCUCCAACCGUUCUCCGCAGGCCGUAACGGAGCGAGAAUCGUCACGGCUUCGCCGGCUCUUCCGUUCUUGCCAAUUGCCGCAAUCCCCCCCGUUGAUUGCACCCAUCACCGCAUGCCUAGAAAAACCGCAAGUAGAAUAAUUGUAUUUGUGACGUCACAUUUUAGUGUUGUGAAUGGCCAAAACAACAAAAACUUUGCGUAGCUUAGUUUUAAGGAUGUAAAUAGUUUGAAUAUAAUAUUGUGCAUGUAAAGUUGUGGAUUUCAUUUCGAAGCAUAAAGGAUUUCACUACUGGUCCAUUGAGUUUAUUACGAUGAAUCCGGGCUCAUAAGGGAGUCUUCCAUGCCUUCCUCACUGUGUGGUUAAUUCGGAAGUGAAUUUGUGAUGUGGCCUUUGAGCAUUAGCAUCCAUAAGAUCUCAAUAGGGAGUUUCAUUCAUCUAUGCAUCGAUUAUGGAUAUGCUCUUAUGAAUUGAGCUCCCGCUGGAAAUGAGUGCAUGACAGAAAUCGAGUGGUAACGUUUUCCUUAUUUCGACCCUGGGAUCAACCCAAUCCACUGAGCAUAGUUCAACGGGUUAUAAAUUGGCGCCCAACAUAAAAAUAUUAGAAUAACAAAUUUCAUCACAUCGGUUUCAACAUUUUUUCGUACCCGUGAGAGGGAGGAGGAAAACAGUUGUAUCUGUUUUGAGUACGUUGCGUUCUCAGAACGGCAAUCAAUUAGGUUUAUUUUUCAAUUUGCAUUAGCUAUUUUGGUAGAGAUUCCAUUGGGAGACCCCGGUGCGAGCUUUUCAGCUGGUUUUGUUUACAUUCAGAUAGUUAGCAUAGUGUAAUCAAUUUAUCAAUGUUUUUAGGUAAUUUAGAAGAUUUUCCGUGGAUGGUGAAGGUGUUCAGGUGGUAACA